rnacentral:rRNA from 1 species
GGUAGUAACACGUGGAUAACCUACCUAUAAGACUGGGAUAACUUCGGGAAACCGGAGCUAAUACCGGAUAAUAUAUUGAACCGCAUGGUUCAAUAGUGAAAGACGGUUUUGCUGUCACUUAUAGAUGGAUCCGCGCCGCAUUAGCUAGUUGGUAAGGUAACGGCUUACCAAGGCAACGAUGCGUAGCCGACCUGAGAGGGUGAUCGGCCACACUGGAACUGAGACACGGUCCAGACUCCUACGGGAGGCAGCAGGG